CGGGAAUUUUGGGCAAUGGGCGAAAGCCUGACCCAGCAACGCCGCGUGAGGGAUGAAGUAUUUCGGUAUGUAAACCUCGAAAGAAUGGGAAGAAUAAAUGACGGUACCAUUUAUAAGCUCCGGCUAACUACGUGCCAGCAGCCGCGGUAAUACGUAGGGAGCAAGCGUUGUUCGGAUUUACUGGGCGUAAAGGGCGCGUAGGCGGCGCGGUAAGUCACUUGUGAAAUCUCUGAGCUUAACUCAGAACGGCCAAGUGAUACUGCUGUGCUAGAGUGCGGGAGAGGCAACCAGAAUUCUUGGUGUAGCGGUGAAAUGCGUAGAUAGCCGGAGGAACACCAGUGGCGAAAGCGGCCUCCU
rnacentral:rRNA from 1 species